rnacentral:rRNA from 1 species
GGGAUUACCUCAGUAACGGCGAGUGAAGCGGUAACAGCUCAAAUUUGAAAUCUGGGUCUUUCAGGCUCCGAGUUGUAAUUUGUAGAAGAUGCUUCGGGUGCGGCUCCGGUCUAAGUUCCUUGGAACAGGACGUCAUAGAGGGUGAGAAUCCCGUAUGUGAUCGGUUGCUUGCGCCCAUGUGAAGCUCUUUCGACGAGUCGAGUUGUUUGGGAAUGCAGCUCAAAAUGGGUGGUAAAUUUCAUCUAAAGCUAAAUAUUGGCCAGAGACCGAUAGCGCACAAGUAGAGUGAUCGAAAGAUGAAAAGCACUUUGGAAAGAGAGUUAAACAGUACGUGAAAUUGUUGAAAGGGAAGCGCUUGCAACCAGACUUGCGCGUUGCCGAUCAUCUGGGGUUCUCCCCAGUGCACUCGGCCUCGCUCAGGCCAGCAUCGGUUUCGGUGGUGGGAUAAAGGCCUUGGGAAUGUAGCUCCUCUCGGGGAGUGUUAUAGCCCUCGGUGCAAUGCCGCCUACCGGGACCGAGGACCGCGCUUCGGCUAGGAUGCUGGCGUAAUGGUUGUAAGCGACCCGUCUUGAAACACGGACCAAGGAGUCUAACAUCUAUGCGAGUGUUUGGGUGUCAAACCCAUACGCGUAAUGAAAGUGAACGGAGGUGAGAACCCUUAAGGGUGCAUCAUCGACCGAUCCUGAUGUCUUCGGAUGGAUUUGAGUAAGAGCAUAGCUGUUGGGACCCGAAAGAUGGUGAACUAUGCCUGAAUAGGGUGAAGCCAGAGGAAACUCUGGUGGAGGCUCGCAGCGGUUCUGACGUGCAAAUCGAUCGUCAAAUUUGGGUAUAGGGGCG